rnacentral:tRNA from 1 species
GGGCGAGUGGCGGAAUUGGCAGACGCGCUAGGCUCAGGACCUAGUGGUCGCAAGACCUUGGAGGUUCGAGUCCUCUCUCGCCCA